UAAGACGUAGGAUGCAAGCGUUGUCCGGAUUUAUUGGGCGUAAAGAGUUCGUAGGCGGUUCGUUAAGUCUGAUGUUAAAGAUCGGGGCUCAACCCCGGGAGUGCAUUGGAUACUGGCGGACUGGAGUGCGGUAGAGGCUAGUGGAAUUCCCAGUGUAGCGGUGAAAUGCGUAGAUAUUGGGAAGAACACCAGUGGCGUAGGCGACUAGCUGGGCCGUAACUGACGCUGAGGAACGAAAGCCAGGGGAGCGAAUGGGAUUAGAUACCCCAGUAGUCCUGGCCGUAAACGAUGGAUACUAGGCGUAGUGGGUAUCGACCCCUACUGUGCCGCAGCUAACGCGAUAAGUAUCCCGCCUGAGUAGUACGGCCGCAAGGUUG
rnacentral:rRNA from 1 species